rnacentral:rRNA from 1 species
UUUUUUUGGGGGGGGGGGAUCGGAAGGAUCAUUACUGAUUUGCUUAAUUGCACCACAUGUGUUUUUUAUUGAACAAAUUUCUUUGGUGGCGGGAGCAAUCCUACCGCCAGAGGUUAUAACUAAACCAAACUUUUUAUUUACAGUCAAACUUGAUUUAUUAUUACAAUAGUCAAAACUUUCAACAACGGAUCUCUUGGUUCUCGCAUCGAUGAAGAACGCAGCGAAAUGCGAUACGUAAUAUGAAUUGCAGAUAUUCGUGAAUCAUCGAAUCUUUGAACGCACAUUGCGCCCUUUGGUAUUCCAAAGGGCAUGCCUGUUUGAGCGUCAUUUCUCCCUCAAACCCCCGGGUUUGGUGUUGAGCAAUACGCUAGGUUUGUUUGAAAGAAUUUACGUGGAAACUUAUUUUAAGCGACUUAGGUUUAUCCAAAACGCUUAUUUUGCUAGUGGCCACCACAAUUUAUUUCAUAACUUGACCUCAAAUCAGGUAGGACUACCCGCUGAACUUAAGCAUAUCAAAAUAACGGGGGAG